rnacentral:rRNA from 1 species
CUUGCUCCUCCGGAUUAGUGGCGAACGGGUGAGUAAUACGUGAGCAAUGUGCCCUUGACUCUGGGAUAAGCGCUGGAAACGGCGUCUAAUACCGGAUACGACCCUCGGAGGCAUCUCCUGAUGGUGGAAAGAACUUCGGUCAAGGAUCAGCUCACGGCCUAUCAGCUAGUUGGUGAGGUAACGGCUCACCAAGGCGACGACGGGUAGCCGGCCUGAGAGGGUGACCGGCCACACUGGGACUGAGACACGGCCCAGACUCCUACGGGAGGCAGCAGUGGGGAAUAUUGCACAAUGGGCGCAAGCCUGAUGCAGCAACGCCGCGUGAGGGACGAAGGCCUUCGGGUUGUAAACCUCUUUUAGCAGGGAAGAAGCGAAAGUGACGGUACCUGCAGAAAAAGCACCGGCUAACUACGUGCCAGCAGCCGCGGUAAUACGUAGGGUGCAAGCGUUGUCCGGAAUUAUUGGGCGUAAAGAGCUCGUAGGCGGUUUGUCGCGUCUGCUGUGAAAACCCGAGGCUCAACCUCGGGCUUGCAGUGGGUACGGGCAGACUAGAGUGCGGUAGGGGAGAUUGGAAUUCCUGGUGUAGCGGUGGAAUGCGCAGAUAUCAGGAGGAACACCGAUGGCGAAGGCAGAUCUCUGGGCCGUAACUGACGCUGAGGAGCGAAAGCAUGGGGAGCAAACAGGCUUAGAUACCCUGGUAGUCCAUGCCGUAAACGUUGGGAACUAGAUGUGGGGACCAUUCCACGGUCUCCGUGUCGUAGCU